rnacentral:rRNA from 1 species
AGGGUGACGCAGCAACGCCGCGUGGAGGAUGAAGGUCGUAAGAUCGUAAACUCAGGUUAGAGGGGAAGAACAGCACCGAUUGGAUCGGUGUUUGACUGUACCCUCAGAGAAAGCCCCGGCCAACUACGUGCCAGCGCCGCGGUAAUA